AACGUACGCUGGCGGCACGCCUAACACAUGCAAGUCGAGCGAGGUAGCAAUACCUAGCGGCAGACGGGUGAGUAACAUGUGGGAAUCUGCCUUUUGGUUCGGAACAACACGGGGAAACCUGUGCUAAUACCGGAUAAGUCCUAACGGAGAAAGUUUUAAUGCCAAAAGAUGAGCCCGCAUUUGAUUAGCUAGUUGGUAAGGUAAAAGCUUACCAAGGCGACAAUCAAUAGCUGAUUUGAGAGGAUGAUCAGCCACACUGGGACUGAGAUACGGCCCAGACUCCUACGGGAGGCAGCAGUGGGGAAUCUUGCACAAUGGGCGAAAGCCUGAUGCAGCGAUGCCGCGUGAGUGAAGAAGGCCUUUGGGUUGUAAAGCUCUUUUGUCGGGAAAGAUAAUGACUGUACCCGAAGAAUAAGGUCCGGCUAACUUCGUGCCAGCAGCCGCGGUAAUACGAAGGGACCUAGCGUAGUUCGGAAUUACUGGGCGUAAAGAGUAUGUAGGCGGCUAGAUAAGUUAAUUGUGAAAGCCCAAAGCUUAACUUUGGAAUUGCAAUUAAAACUAUUUAGCUGGAGUAUGAUAGAGGAAAGCGGAAUACAUAGUGUAGAGGUGAAAUUCGUAGAUAUUAUGUAGAACACCAGUUGCGAAGGCGGCUUUCUGGAUCAUUACUGACGCUGAGAUACGAAAGUAUGGGUAGCGAAGAGGAUUAGAUACCCUCGUAGUCCAUACCAUAAACGAUGAUUAUUAGAUGUGGGGAAUUAUUUCUCUGUAUCAUAGCUAACGCGUUAAAUAAUCCGCCUGGGGAGUACGACCGCAAGGUUAAAACUCAAAUGAAUUGACGGGGACCCGCACAAGCGGUGGAGCAUGUGGUUUAAUUCGAAGCAACGCGCAGAACCUUACCAACCCUUGACAUGUUUGUCGCGAGACUAAGAAAUUGGUCUCU
rnacentral:rRNA from 1 species